rnacentral:rRNA from 1 species
GAUGAACGCUGGCGGCGUGCCUAAUACAUGCAAGUCGAGCGAACAGACGAGGAGCUUGCUCCUCUGACGUUAGCGGCGGACGGGUGAGUAACAAGUGGAUAACCUACCUAUAAGACUGGGAUAACUUCGGGAAACCGGAGCUAAUACCGGAUAAUAUAUUGAACCGCAUGGAUCAAUAGUGAAAGACGGAUUUGCUGUCACUUAUAGAUGGAUCCGCGCCGCAUUAGCUAGUUGGUAAGGUAACGGCUUACCAAGGCGACGAUGCGUAGCCGACCUGAGAGGGUGAUCGGCCACACUGGAACUGAGACACGGUCCAGACUCCUACGGGAGGCAGCAGUAGGGAAUCUUCCGCAAUGGGCGAAAGCCUGACGGAGCAACGCCGCGUGAGUGAUGAAGGUCUUCGGAUCGUAAAACUCUUUUAUUAGGGAAGAACAAAUGUGUAAGUAACUAUGCACGUCUUGACGGUACCUAAUCAGAAAGCCACGGCUAACUACGUG